CGGACGACGCUGGCGGCGUGCUUAACACAUGCAAGUCGAGCGGUAAGGCCCUUCGGGGUACACGAGCGGCGAACGGGUGAGUAACACGUAGGAAUCUACCUUAAGACGGGACAACCAGGAAACUUGGGCUAAUACCGGAUGAGAGUGCGAGAGAUUGCAUUUAAAAGGAUGGCGAAAGUUGUCGCUUAGGGAUGAGCCUGCGGUCUAUUAGUUAGUUGGUGAGGUAAGAGCUCACCAAGGCGAUGAUAGAUAGGCGGCCUUAACGGGUGGUCGCCCACACUGGGAUUGAGAUACGGCCCAGACUCCUACGGGAGGCAGCAGUCGAGAAUAGUCUACAAUGGCCGGAAGGCUGAUAGUGCGACGCCGCGUGAACGAGGGAGCCCUUCGGGGUGUAAAGUUCUUUUCUAUACGAGCAGUGCUAUAUAUAUGGAUAGUAUAUAUAGAGGGAUAGUAGUAUAGGAAUAAGCAACGGCUAACUCCGUG
rnacentral:rRNA from 1 species